AUUGAACGCUGGCGGCAGGCUUAACACAUGCAAGUCGAGCGAGCGGCGGACGGGUGAGUAAUGUCUGGGAAACUGCCUGAUGGAGGGGGAUAACUACUGGAACCGGUAGCUAAUACCGCAUACCAUCAGAUGUGCCCAGAUGGGAUUAGCUAGUAGGUGGGGUAAUGGCUCACCUAGGCGACGAUCCCUAGCUGGUCUGAUAGGAUGACAAUCCAAACUGGAACGGAGACACGGUCCAGACUCCUACGGUAGGCAGCAGUGGGGAAUAUUGCACAAUGGGCGCAAGCCUGAUGCAGCCAUGUCGCGUGUGUGAAGAAGGCCUUCGGGUUGUAAAGCACUUUCAGCGAGGAGGCGUUACUCGCAGAAGAAGCACCGGCUAACUCCGUGCCAGCAGCCGCGGUAAUUC
rnacentral:rRNA from 1 species